rnacentral:rRNA from 1 species
GACGAACGCUGGCGGCGUGGAUUAGGCAUGCAAGUCGAGCGCGAAAGUCCCCUUCGGGGGAUGAGUAGAGCGGCAAACGGGUGAGUAACACGUGAGUAACCUGUCCUUGGGUGGGGGAUAACCCCGGGAAACCGGGGCUAAUACCGCAUGACGUUGUUCCCACAAAAGUGGGAAUAACCAAAGGGGGGGACCGUUCGGGCCGUCCCGCCUGAGGAGGGGCGUCGCGCCUGAUUAGCUAGUUGGUGGGGUGACGGCUCACCAAGGCGAAGACGGGUAGCCGGUCUGAGAGGAUGGCCGGCCACACUGGAACUGAGACACGGUCCAGACUCCUACGGGAGGCAGCAGUGGGGAAUAUUGGGCAAUGGGGGAGACCCUGACCCAGCGACGCCGCGUGAGGGAUGAAGGUUUUCGGGUUGUAAACCUCUGUCCUUGGGGACGAUAAUGACGGUACCCGAGGAGGAAGCUCCGGCUAACUACGUG